CGUGGGUAAUCUACCUCCGAAUCGGGGAUAACCCGCCGAAAGGCGAGCUAAUACCGGAUAAUAUCUUUGAAACAUCGGUUUUUUUAGAUCAAAGGUGGCCUCUACAUGUAAGCUACUGUUUGGAGAUGAGCCCGCGUACCAUUAGCUUGUUGGUAGGGUAAUGGCCUACCAAGGCUUCGAUGGUUAGCUGGUCUGAGAGGAUGAUCAGCCACACUGGAACUGACACACGGUCCAG
rnacentral:rRNA from 1 species